AUUGAACGCUGGCGGCAGGCCUAACACAUGCAAGUCGAGCGGAUGAGUGGAGCUUGCUCCAUGAUUCAGCGGCGGACGGGUGAGUAAUGCCUAGGAAUCUGCCUGGUAGUGGGGGACAACGUUUCGAAGGGAACGCUAAUACCGCAUACGUCCUACGGGAGAAAGUGGGGGAUCUUCGGACCUCACGCUAUCAGAUGAGCCUAGGUCGGAUUAGCUAGUUGGUGAGGUAAAGGCUCACCAAGGCGACGAUCCGUAACUGGUCUGAGAGGAUGAUCAGACACAAUGGAACUGAGACACGGUCCAGACUCCAACGGGAGGCAGCAGUGGGGAAUAUUGGACAAUGGGCGAAAGCCUGAUCCAGCCAUGCCGCGUGUGUGAAGAAGGUCUUCGGAUUGUAAAGCACUUUAAGUUGGGAGGAAGGGUUGUACGUUAAUACCGUGCAAUUUUGACGUUACCGACAGAAUAAGCACCGGCUAACUCUGUGCCAGCCGCCGCAGUAACAC
rnacentral:rRNA from 1 species